rnacentral:misc_RNA from 1 species
GAAAUGCGAUAAGUAGUGUGAAUUGCAGAAUUCAGUGAAUCAUCGAAUCUUUGAACGCACAUUGCGCCCUUUGGUAUUCCUUAGGGCAUGCCUGUUCGAGCGUCAUUCAAACCUUCAAGCUCUGCUUGGUGUUGGGUGUCUGUCCCGCCUCUGGGCGCGGACUCGCCUCAAAUUCAUUGGCGGCCGGUACGUUGGCUUCGAGCGCAGCAGAAACGCGUUCUCGAGACUGGCGGACUGGCUCCCAGAAGCUAACCCCAUGAAUUUUGACCUCGGAUCAGGUAGGGAUACCCGCUGAACUUAA